CACAAAAUCUUUCCAGUGCACUGAAACGUUUGCUCCCUAAAAAGUCCCACGUUCAACAUUAAUAUCAGGGCGCACUGAUGCUCACUAUGUUCCCUUAAUAGAAAUGUGCUAUGUGUGACCUUCCUAAUAUAUGACAAUAUAUCUCAGCAAAGUAUUAUUAUUAUGUUAUUCAAUCAUAUUUCACAAUAAACAUACAAUUUGAUCGAGUCACGUGAUGCCCGCAGCCGUUCACUUGGACGUACAUUCAGUGGCACCUGUAAACUUUCCUCCCACUUUAUUUAAAAUUUCACAAUAUAAAAUUAGUCACAUCGAUUAAUAUAAACACAACAAAAAAUAUUCCUGUAAAGGUACGUAAUGCUACGCCACUUAACGGUCGUGGCGUGAUCACGUGAUGACGCGGCAGAUAUUCCGCGCUCUUUUAGCUGCUUUCGUCACCUGAGGACGGUUAGCCGUAAUGAACGCGCAUAUUUCGGUAGACGCCGAGGAAGAAUUUAACGCCACAGACGGUCAAAGAAGAAGCUACAAAUAGGCUGGUAAAGAGAGGACACACAAAUACAGGGAGAGACUCAAUGCUGACCAUGCAAGGAGAGAGGAGGUCCUGAGGGAAAGGAGGAAAAAGUAUAAAGAGAAGAUAUGAAGAGGAAAACUCAAGGAAUUCAGUGUGCACUCCCUUCCUCCUUCAAGACGAGAAAAUGAGAGAGAUGCAGAAAAAAAAUACAGAAAAAGAAAAAAGAAGAGAAUGCCAUUUUAAACCUGACCCCUCCAUCUCCUGAAGCGUCUCUGAAUGAAGAUAAUGCAAAUAAUACAAUACAAUAAUUGUAAAUUGAUGAUAAUUUUACUGUUUACCAAUUAUAAUUGUUGUUACACACACUCGUCUCUAAUUUUAAAAUGUUCAUGUUGAAGGUUCUUUACGUGAGAUGUUUGAUUUACUCAUAUUUCUGAGUUUCUUAACAUUUUAAAAGUUUAAAAAAAAAAAAAAAAAAAAAUGAUGUUAGUAUGUUUGAUUUUUAGUCUUAAUUGAAUUGAAUUUAUUAAAUGUAAAUAAAUACUUUUUUUUUUUUUUCUUUUUUUUUCAUUGACAUUGUGGUGUGCAGUUCAUACAGUGUGACAUUCAGAAUUAUGACAAUAAAUAAUUAGUUAUAAAUCAUAAAGUCAGUGGAACACGAGAGAAAUGGUAUCAGCAAGAGUCACAAGCAUUUUGUUAGAUUUAUAACAGGGUUUGUCAGAAUUAAUCUAAAAUAUCUGGAAGGGCUGAGUGAGGAGAGAUGUCUUUGCAUGAUGAUGCACAAAAAAAUGUUAAAUCUUAAAAUAGUAAUGAUAAAGAUUUAUGAUGAAGUUAAUAACUUUUAAGUCACAACAUAUGACAAUUUAAGCAUAAAUGCAACAAAUUUGAUGAAUAAAUCCAAUUUCCAAUACAAAAUCUAAAAGACUACAUGUCAGUACAACACAACUCGAUAUUUUUUUUUUUAUGCCUAAUAUUUGAAGUAUUGUGAAGCACCCACAUACUAAGUCAUAAUUAUGAGAUAAAAAAGUAAAAAUUAUGCCUAUAGUUAUAAUUUUUGCAUUUUUAUCUCAUGUCGUAAUUUACUGAUUCUCCAUCAUUCUCUGAACUUCUGUCAUCAUAACUCAUAAUAACAGCUUUGAAAUUUAGCCUUUUACUAAAAACAAACACUGUUUUUGUAACAAGUUAUUCUCACAUGAUGGAUGUUGGACCUAGUUAUGUGUUGUUGCUUACAGAUAUCUUUUUUUUAUAUUUAUUAAUAUCUAUAUGUUAUUGACAGCUAGAUCUUCUCACAUGCUGUUCUCUGUGUGUCUGAUGUCUUUUGAAACCGCUGAAAUGACUCGUUUUUCAUGUGGAAACGGUCAAGUUAGCUGGUUAACCUCGAGGUGGCGCUCGUGUGCAGAGAAUAAGAAUGACACGUGCUGCUAAAUGAUUUUUGAGUGGAAGUUGUUCAGCUGUAGUUUUUAUUGUAUUCUUCUCUGGUAACAGCAUCAUUCAGGAAGAUCUUGUAGGAGUUUUGUGCUUCUCAGGCCUCGUCAUGUUGAGAUUUGUUGGAUCUUUUCUUGGUUUAAGAUCCUAAACCUCCUCUGUGACGUGCACUGGGUGAUCAUUACAACAAUACAACCUUGUUUCAUUUUAAUUAGGAGAAAUCCCUAUUCUUGUUGAACUCUGUGUGUGUUAAAGUUGAGCACUUUACCACAAAAACAAGGUAAACGCUGGACAUGUUUUGUUCGCAGUAUAAGACAUGGUUCAUGUUAAGAUAAAGCUUUACUUUAUAUCUUCUUCUUCUUCUUCUUUGUGUUUUUUGUUUUUCAAUAUGACUAGAACAGUUUUUGAACUAUUUCAAUUUCAUGAACUCCAUUUGUGUAAUGAACUUUAACUUUUUUCCAGCAGUGAAGCUCUAGAAACUAAAGCACCAAGGGCAUUUGACGUUAAAGGCAUUUUGAUGUCAAUCCUGGGGCUGGAUUCAUGAAACAUUUUCAAGAACAAAGUUCUUUUAUUGUAUUUUCUAACUUUUAGAAAUUUUUGUAUUCCCAAAAAUAUUUUUUCCCCUUAAGAAUGUUCUUAUUUUAUUUGCUAAGAUAAAAUUUAGAAUUCAAAUUCUUGAAUAUCUGGAAAGGCUGAGUGAGGAGAGAUGUCUUACUUUGCAUGAUGAUUUAGAAAAAUAUUACAAAAUCUAAUGAAUCUGCACAAAAAAAAAAAAAAAAAAAUUAAAAUCUUAAGUUAGUUAAUAACUUUUAUGUCACACUAUAUGACAAUUUUAGGCACAAAUGCAACGAAUUUGGUGAAUAAAUCCAAUAUCCAAUACAAAAUUUUAAAAGACCACAUAUUUUUGGAAAUUCAAGAGUCAGUACAACAACUUUUUUUUAUGCUUAAUAUUUGAAGUGUAAAAAAAAACAACAACUUUUUUUAAGGCUGUCAACUGCCCACAUACUAAGCCAUAAUUUUGAGAUUAAAAAGUAAAAAUUGUCUAUAGUUAUAAUUUCGCAUUUUUAUCUCAUAAUAAUGACGUGUCGUAAUUUACUGAUUCUCCAUCAUUCUCUGAACUUCUGUCAUCAUAACUCAUAAUAACAGCUUUGAAAUUUUAGCAUUUUACUGAAAACAAUAUUUUUUGUAACUACUUAUUUUCACAUGAUGGAUGUUGGACCUAGUUGUACAGGUAUCUUUUUUAUAUGUAUAUUUAUUAAUAUCUGUAUGUAAGUUAUUGACAGCUAGAUCUUCUCACAUGUUUUCUGUGUCUGAUGUCUUUUGAAACCGUUGAAAUGAGUAGUUUUUCAUGUGGAAACGGUCAAGUUAGCUGGUUAACCUCGAGGUGGCGCUCGUGUGCAGAGAAUAAGAAUGACACGUGCUGCUAAAUGAUUUUUGAGUGGAAGUUGUUCAGCUGUAGUUUUUAUUAUUGAUUGUAUUCUUCUCUGGUAACAGCAUCGCUCAGGAAGAUCUUGGAGGAGUUUUGUGCUUCUCAGGCCUCCUUGUGUUGAGAUUUGUUGGAUUUUUUUUAGCUGGCAAAUUUGAGUACUUACCGAUUACAAUUAACGCUUGAAGAUUUAACACUUUUCUUGGUUUAAGAUCCUAAACCUCCUCUGUGGCGUGCAUUGGGUGAUCAUUACAACAAUACAACCUUGUUUCAUUUUAAUUAGGAGAAAUCCCUAUUCUUGUUGAACUCUGUGUGUGUUAAAGUUGAGCACUUUACCACAAAAACAAGGUAAAUGUUGGACAUGGAGUUUUGAUCGCAGUAUAAGACAUGGUUCACAGCUUUAAACAUGUUAAGAUAAAGCUUUACUUUUUAUCUUCUUCUUCUUUGUGUUUUUUGUUUUUCAAUAUGACUAGAACAGUUUUUAAACUAUUUCAAUUUCAUGAACUGCAUUUGUGUAAUGAACUUUAACUUUUUUCCAGCAGUGAAGCUCUAGAAACUAAAGCAUCAAGGGCAUUUGACGUUAAAGGCAUUGUGAUGUCAAUCCUGGGGCUGGAUUCAUGAAACAUUUUCAAGAACAAAAUUCUUUUAUUGUAUUUUCUAACUUAAGAAAUUUUUGUAUUCCCAAAAAUAUUUUUUCUCCUUAAGAAUGUUCUUAUUUUAUUUACUUAAGAUAAAAUUUAAGAAUUCAAAUUCUUGAAAAGAAUGUUCUUAAACAUCGUAAAUCACUACCUAAAGUUGUAAGCUUGUCUUAACCCUUGUGCUGUGCUGAAAAUCCUUUACCACCUAAUGUGGUGUUCCUGGUCAAAUAUGAUCCGCCUUAUAAAUUGAUGGUAAAUCUUAAGCAACUUAGUUUUUGAGUGAAAAAAGCUUAUUCAGGUCAAACAAUGUACGAAAAUGAUCAGAACAAUUUGGGGAAGUUGUUACACCCUGUGUGAGAAAAGUCAGCAGCUUUUAGUCCAAAGCGAUAAAAUUAAAGGGAUAGUUCACCAAAAAAUGAAAAUCGUCAACAUUCACCCUCAAGUUGUUCUAAACCUGUAUAAAUGUCUUUGUUCUGCUGAACACAAAGGAAGAUAUUUGGAAGAAUGUCAGUAACCAAACAGAUCUCAUCCCCCAUUGAGUACCAUAGUAUUUAUUUUUUCUACUAUGGUAGUCAACAGGGGGCGAGAUCAGUUUGGUUAACAUGUCCCACAUCUUGAUGUUCAAAUGCUUGUGCAUGAUGGGAAGUGAAUAAAGACUUCUGGGGCUUAAUUUAUAAAACCUGCGUAUGCAGAUCUGAUCCAUGUUCAGAUAAUAAUCUUUGACAUGAAAAAGUGCUUAGCUGUAGAAAUAUAUGCAGAAAUAAUAAUAAUAAUAAAACCCUGUUAGCAUAAUUAGACGGCAUUAAGGUUUAAUUAUUUAGUAUGCAUACGUUGGUUUUGCAUGUGUAAAUUAUUUCAGCCAAAUCUAUAGGCUAUAAAAUGGCCUAUAAUGCAGAAAUAGAUUAAUUUUCUCUGAAUAACAUGUUCGCACAUUUGAGAAAUGAUCCUGGAUCGAAUGUGAAACGGUUUCUACUAGUGCUUUGUGAUUAAUCGCAUCUAACACACGCUUGUUUUUACAUUUUUGUGUGUGUGUGUGUGUGUGUGUAAACUUUUGUUAUAUGCGAUUAAUCGAUUUGAGGCCGAAAUCAUAAUCGAAAUAAGGCCCAUUUCUUUCAGCAAAUGGUUUUUGUGUACAUUUUUGUGGAAUCAACAGCCACAGCAUUUCAAAAACGGAAACAAAUUGUGACAGAAGCUUUCUCAGUGAACUAUUAGAGUUACUGAACAUCUGAUGUGUUUCCACACGAUCAUUGAGAUUCAGAUAUUGUCAGUCACAUCCUGUGUGGUCAUCAGCAAUUUACGCCAUGACUGAGUUAAAACAGCAAGAACAUUCAAGGUUUUACUUAGUCUUUAAUCAGAUUCCGUUCACAGAAGUCAGUGUGUAAAAAGGUGAAUCCUCCAACACUGAGGGAAUAAAUGACUGACUAAUUGAUCAUCAUCAUCAUCACAUGUAAAGACGUUCAUUCCAGUUUCAUGACCUUUAACGCUGGGCGUGUUCGACCUUCGCUUCCUCAUUUUACAUGUCCUCCAGCAGAUGCUCAUGUUACUCUGAUUUAUCAGAACAUUUUACAGAUCUCAAAAGUGGAAGUUCACA